UGCGUCACUGGCAGAAUCAUCUAAUUGUCUGUGGUAUUGAGUUUGAAUUGAAGACAGUGAGGUUUGGUGCGGGCAACAACAAGUAGUAAUUCAAACAUGAACUGUAUAGUGCCAGGCUGUAUGAAUUGGCUACUUAAAAAAAAAACUCGGAGGAGGUCUUCAUCCCUGAAAAGGUUUUCAUCCUGAAGGAGAAUGUGCAGGAGGAGGCAGAGGAGGAAAGAACUGUUAGUAGAGUAUGCCAAACUGACCCCUGGGUGCCAGAGUGUUCCUGUGCUGCGGUGGAGAAGAGGUCCACCGGGACUAUCACUAAAGAGCUCGGGGCCAAGCUAGAUUGCGCUCUCGACCAUCAGUAUACAACCGAGUCCUGAACCCUAUACGCCACAGAUGGAGCUGACGGAGAGUGAGAUCAGUGAAGACCAUAACUCGCUGUAUGAACCUGAGAGCUCAGAAUCACAAUCAUCACAGUGAGAGAUACAGGUGCAGCUCAAUCAAUUAGAAUAUUGUUGAAAAGUUAAGUAAUUUCAAUAAUUCAAUUGACAAAGUGAAACUCAUAUAUUGUGCAUUAAUGAAAUAUUUCAAGCCUGUAUUUUUUUUAAUCUUGAUGAUUACGGCUUACAGCUCAUGAAAACCCCAAAUUCAGUAUCUCUGAAAAUUUGAAUAUUGUGAAAAAGUUCAAUAUUGUAGACUCAAGGUGUCAUACUAAUCAGCUAACUAACUCAAAACACCUGCAAAGGUUUCCUGAGCCUUUAAAUGGUCUCUCAGUCCAGUUCAGUAGGCUUCACAAUCAUGGGGAAGACUGCUGACUUGACAGUUGUGCAGAAGACAUCAACACCCUCCACAAAGAGGGAAAACCUCAAAAGAUCAUUGCUAAAGAAGCUGGCUGUUCACAGAGGGCUGUAUCCAAGCAUAUUCAUGGAAAGUCGAGUGGAAGGAAGAAGUGUGGUAGGAAAAGGUGCACAAGCAACAGGGAUAACCGGAGCCUUGAGAGGAUUGUCAAGCAAAGGCCAUUCAUAAAUGUGGGGGAGCUUCACAAGGAGUGGACUGAGGCAGGAGUCAGUGCAUCAAGAGCAACCACGCACAGACGUAUCCAGGAAAUGGGAUACAACUGUCGCAUUCCUCGUAUCAAGCCACUCCUGAACCAGAGGCAAUGUCAGAAGCGUCUUACCUGGGCUAAGGAGAAAAAGAACUGGUCUGUCGUUCAGUGGUCCAAAGUCCUCUUUUCAGAUUAAAGUGAAUUUUGCAUUUAAUUUGGCAAUCAAGGUCCCAGAGUCUGGAGGAAGAGUGGAGAGGCACAGAAUCCAAGUUGCUUGAAGUCCAGUGUCAAGUUUCCACAGUCAGUGAUGAUUUGGGGAGCCUUGUCAUCUUCUGGUGUUGGUCCACUGUCAACUCAGCCGUCUACCAGGAAAUGUUAGAGCACUUCAUGCUUCCUUCUGCUGACAAGCUUUAUGGAGAUGCUGAUUUCAUUUUCCAGCAGGAUUUGGCACCUGCCCACACUGCCAAAGGUACCAAUACCUGGUUCAAUGACCAUGGGAUUACUGUGCUUGAUUGGCCAGCAAACUGGCCUGAUCUGAACCCCAUAGAGAAUUUAUGGGGUAUUGUCAAGAGGAACAUGAGAAACACGAGACACAACGAUGCAGACGAGCUGAAGGCCACUAUCGAAGCAACCUGGGCUUCCAUAACACCUCAGCAGUGCCACAGGCUGAUCGACUCCAUGCCACGCCGCAUAGAUGCAGUGAUUCAUGCAAAAGGAGCCCCAACCAAGUACUGACUGCAUGUACAAGAACAUAGGCUGAAGGCCGACAUGUCUUUAUUACAUUUCCUUUUUUCACUGGUCUUAUGUCAUAUUCUAAUUUUCUGAGAUACUGAAUUUGGGGUUUUCAUGAGCUGUAAGCCGUAAUCAUCAAGAUUAAAACAUACAGGCUUGAACUAUUU